rnacentral:rRNA from 1 species
GGUUGUCGUCAGCUCGUGUCGUGAGAUGUUGGGUUAAGUCCCGCAACGAGCGCAACCCCUACGUUUAGUUGCUAACAGGUGAAGCUGAGCACUCUAGACGAACUGCCGUUGACAAAACGGAGGAAGUGGGAUGACGUCAAAUCAUCAUGCCCCUUAUGUUCUGGGCUACACACGUGCUACAAUGGCCGGUACAGACGGAGGCGAAGCCGCGAGGCGGAGCAAAUCCGAAAAAGCCGGUCUCAGUUCGGAUUGCAGGCUGCAAUUCGCCUGCAUGAAGUCGGAAUCGCUAGUAAUCGCGGAUCAGCACGCCGCGGUGAAUACGUUCCCGGGCCUU